GAUGCGUAGCCGACCUGAGAGGGUGAUCGGCCACACUGGGACUGAGACACGGCCCAGACUCCUACGGGAGGCAGCAGUAGGGAAUUUUCCGCAAUGGACGAAAGUCUGACGGAGCAACGCCGCGUGAGUGAUGAAGGUUUUCGGAUCGUAAAACUCUGUUGUUAGGGAAGAACAAGUGCCGUUCAAAUAGGGCGGCACCUUGACGGUACCUAACCAGAAAGCCACGGCUAACUACGUGCCAGCAGCCGCGGUAAUACGUAGGUGGCAAGCGUUGUCCGGAAUUAUUGGGCGUAAAGCGGCGUCGCAGGCGGUUUCUUAAGUCUGAUGUGAAAGCCCCCGGCUCAACCGGGGAGGGUCAUUGGAAACUGGGGAACUUGAGUGCAGAAGAGGAGAGUGGAAUUCCACGUGUAGCGGUGAAAUGCGUAGAGAUGUGGAGGAACACCAGUGGCGAAGGCGAUCUUUCUGGUCUGUAACUGACGCUGUAGGCAGCGAAAGCGUGGGGAGCGAACAGGAUUAGAUACCCUGGUAGUCCACGCCGUAAACGAUGAGUGCUAAGUGUUAGGGGGUUUCCGCCCCUUAGUGCUGCAGCUAACGCAUUAAGCACUCCGCCUGGGGAGUACGGUCGCAAGACUGAAACUCAAAGGAAUUGACGGGGGCCCGCACAAGCGGUGGAGCAUGUGGUUUAAUUCGAAGCAACGCGAAGAACCUUACCAGGUCUUGACAUCCUCUGACAAUCCUAGAGAUAGGACUUCCCCUUCCGGAGCAGAGUGACAGGUGGUGCAUGGUUGUCGUCAGCUCGUGUCGUGAGAUGUUGGGUUAAGUCCCGCAACGAGCGCAACCCUUGAUCUUAGUUGCCAGCAUUCAGUUGGGCACUCUAAGGUGACUGCCGGUGACAAACCGGAGGAAGGUGGGGAUGACGUCAAAUCAUCAUGCCCCUUAUGACCUGGGCUACACACGUGCUACAAUGGACAGAACAAAGGGCAGCGAAACCGCGAGGUUAAGCCAAUCUCACAAAUCUGUUCUCAGUUCGGAUCGCAGUCUGCAACUCGACUGCGUGA
rnacentral:rRNA from 1 species